rnacentral:lncRNA from 1 species
UUUUGUUUUCUACCACGCAUGCGUUGUUAUUCUAUUUUCUUCCUACUAUACGUGACUGUUCUGUACCUUUAUACUCUGUUGUGCCUCCAGAUUAGGCUCGCAUGUUAAUCUUUGUUAUGUUUUCCUACAUGUUCUUUGCUAUACUUUCCAGUAUGCUUCUACUGCACGUGUUUCCUGCUGAAUUUUGUUUGCUUUUACUGGACUUUUGAUUAAGUUCUAAGAAUGUUUCCUUUAUUUUUUCUUAAGUUUAUAUCACCCUUCUUCUCUCUUAUGAACUUGCUUAAGUUUCGAGUUUUUUUUAAAACAUGUUCGUUAUGCUUUUAAAUCAACCUUUCACUUUGUCGCUUCAAACCUGCAAUCAUAUCUGUGUGUUUCCUUAUGAGGCUUUGAAAUAGACCUCUGAGUCUAUUUUGAUAGCUUGCCUUCUCUCUGUAUCUGAUUCGAGUUAAAAGCCUAGAAUUUGGGGAUUUCUUUGGCAAGUUCUAUUUUGUGUUUGGAUUGGGGUUCUACUUUGAAACCCUAAACUCUCAGACUCAUUCUGAGUCUAUAAUUGGAUCUGAACCUUUUUAUGACUUUUUCUAUGAUGUACUUUUCUAAUCAGUGUGACAACUCCUUCUUGUUUGAUAUUUGUGUGCUUUAUAUAUGAGAAAUUCUUCUUUCAAAAAAGGUUUUACCAACUAUUGAUUGACUUCGAAUCCCUUUUAAUAAGGUUUGACUGAUUGUUAUUGAUUUUUUCUUUGAUUGAACCUUCUUUACCUUUUCCUGACUUGGUUCAUUCGGACAAAGUCUGUAAUUUUGAUUUUACUGGUUGUUUGAUUGAUUCCAUUUCCUUAUUUGUCACAAAUUAUGUACCACUGAACUUUUGCCAUAAAUUAACCCUUGUAUUUUCCUUUAUUUUACUGCUUUGGAAAAGAUUUUAAUCAACUCUUUCCUUAAUUUCCUUAUACCUGUUUGAAAUUAGAAUCCCUUAAUUAAAAGGAGAUUGAUUUCAAUGUUAUUUUCUUACCCUUUCUUACUUUCUUUCUGCACUGCAAAGGGCACGACCCUUCUGGACGUUGACAGACUUGGAAUUCAAUACUUUUACACACCUCCCAGUCUAAUACUCUUUAAGACACUCUCAAUUACUC